UACGUAGGGGGCAAGCGUUAUCCGGAAUCACUGGGUGUAAAGGGAGCGUAGACGGCAGUGCAAGCCUGAAGUGAAAGGCGGGGGCCCAACCCCUGGACUGCUUUGGGAACUGCAUAGCUAGAGUGCAGGAGAGGUAAGUGGAAUUCCUAGUGUAGCGGUGAAAUGCGUAGAUAUUAGGAGGAACACCAGUGGCGAAGGCGGCUUACUGGACUGUAACUGACGUUGAGGCUCGAAAGCGUGGGGAGCAAACAGG
rnacentral:rRNA from 1 species